ACGCUGGCGGCGUGCCUAAUACAUGCAAGUCGAACGCACAGCGAAAGGUGCUUGCACCUUUCAAGUGAGUGGCGAACGGGUGAGUAACACGUGGACAACCUGCCUCAAGGCUGGGGAUAACAUUCGGAAACAGAUGCUAAUACCGAAUAAAACUUAGUGUCGCAUGACACAAAGUUAAAAGGCGCUUCGGCGUCACCUAGAGAUGGAUCCGCGGUGCAUUAGUUAGUUGGUGGGGUAAAGGCCUACCAAGACAAUGAUGCAUAGCCGAGUUGAGAGACUGAUCGGCCACAUUGGGACUGAGACACGGCCCAAACUCCUACGGGAGGCUGCAGUAGGGAAUCUUCCACAAUGGGCGAAAGCCUGAUGGAGCAACGCCGCGUGUGUGAUGAAGGCUUUCGGGUCGUAAAGCACUGUUGUAUGGGAAGAACAGCUAGAAUAGGAAAUGAUUUUAGUUUGACGGUACCAUACCAGAAAGGGACGGCUAAAUACGUGCCAGCAGCCGCGGUAAUACGUAUGUCCCGAGCGUUAUCCGGAUUUAUUGGGCGUAAAGCGAGCGCAGACGGUUUAUUAAGUCUGAUGUGAAAGCCCGGAGCUCAACUCCGGAAUGGCAUUGGAAACUGGUUAACUUGAGUGCAGUAGAGGUAAGUGGAACUCCAUGUGUAGCGGUGAAAUGCGUAGAUAUAUGGAAGAACACCAGUGGCGAAGGCGGCUUACUGGACUGCAACUGACGUUGAGGCUCGAAAGUGUGGGUAGCAAAC
rnacentral:rRNA from 1 species